ensembl:snRNA U6 U6 spliceosomal RNA
GUGCCCCCUUUGGCAGAACUUACACUAAAACGGGAGUAAUACAAACAUGAGUAUGGCCCCUGGGCAAGGAUGACAUGCAAAGGCAUGAAGUGGUACCUAUUUUU